GCGGCAGUAGCGCAGUGGUAGAGCCCCGCUUCGCAUGCGGGGAGACCUGGGUUCGAUUCCCGGCUGCUUCC
rnacentral:tRNA from 1 species